UUGUAAAUAUUUUUCAAAAACAUGUAUGUGGAAAAAUAUUAAUCAUGUACUCCUUCAUUCCAGAAUGUAGUGGAUAUACAAUUUUCUAAAAGUCAAACUUUGCCAACUUUGACCAAGUUUCUAGAGAAAAAUGUCCACAUCUACAAUAUCAAACAUGUACAUUAUGAAAAUAUAACUCAUGUAUCCAAUGAUGUUCAUUUGGUAUUCUAGAUGUACCUAUUCUCCUCUAUAAAUAUGGUAAAAGUUUGUAAGGUUGGACUUUAAUGUUUUUUUAUAGCCACUACAUUAUGAAACGGAAUGUCGCAAAAAAAUACAUUAUGAAACGGAGAGGGUAUUACAAAUGGUAAAUGCGUAUAAGAAUAUUUUAGAUUUACGGAAUAUGUGCAAUGCGUAUCUGGAAGAAGUAGACAUCAAAGACAUGUAUUUGAAAAAAAUGCUAAUUGCAUAAAGAAUGAAACGUGUAUCAAACAUACUAUUCCUUAUGUGCAAAAAAAUGUACAAUGCGUGUAAAGAAAGUACAUCCGUGUGGAAACAAAGGAUUAAACAAAAAAAGAAAUUAAAAAGAAAUAAAUAAAGAAACCAAAUGACCCUGAAGAAAACCAAAAGAACACACAAGGAACUGAAACCAAAAAGGAAAUAACAUACAAAACCGUUGAAAACCAACACGGUAAACCAGAGAAAAGAAAUGAAGAACGAGGAAACUGAGGAAAUCCGGUAAAUAAAUCAAUA
rnacentral:lncRNA from 1 species